CUCGCCAGGGAAUUACAAGCAUUAGCUUAAAACCCAAAGGACUUGGCGGUGCUUUAGAACCACCUAGAGGAGCCUGUUCUAGAACCGAUAACCCCCGUUCAACCUCACCCUUUCUUGUUAUUACCGCUUAUAUACCACCGUCGUCAGCUUACCCUGUAAAGGAUUAAUAGUAAGCAAAAAUGGUACAACCUAAUACGUCAGGUCGAGGUGUAGCGCAUGAAAGGGAAAGAAAUGGGCUACAUUCCCUGACUCAGGGAAUACGAAUGAUAAAUUGAAAUAAUUGUCUGAAGGUGGAUUUAGUAGUAAGAUGGAAAAUAGAGUGUUCCCCUGAAACCGGCCCUGAAGCGCGCACACACCGCCCGUCACUCUCCCCAAGCUCAUAAUUUAAUUAAAUAAAAAUAUAAUAACUGCAAAGGGGAGGCAAGUCGUAACAUGGUAAGUGUAUCGGAAGAUGCACUUGGAAAAAC
rnacentral:rRNA from 1 species